GUACACCGUAACACCCUUGCGGUGUACUGUGUAGUAUUUUUCUAAACAGCUCUACUGGAAAACCUGCCUUGUUACCCUUGCUCUAUGAUUAUGUCAAAAUGUAUGAUCGGAGAGAAGAAAAUUAUAAAUGAUAAUGUCAGGUCAAAGGUCAUUUUAACUUUAGCUAGUAUGUUCAAACUAGGAAAAAAGGUUUUACUAUUCCCUUUACAAAUGGAUUUAUGUAAAUUGUAUGUUGUUAUGUAUGUCUUCUGUUUGUCUAGGUUAAAGGGAUACUUUGGGUGUUUUGAAGUCGGCUUGUAUGAGGUACUUAUCCAUAGUCAGUGUUUUACCUACAGCAGGUGACCGAUUGCACGACUAACAAACUAACCGAUCGAGGCAGCGGUAGACCAGCAACUCCCAUGUUCUGCGAGGUAAAAUUACUGGGGGGUUUUUUCAAUGGAGUCUGGUUGCUUUGGUGAGAGCAUAUAUAACGGCUUCAGUUCCCCAUCGGAAACAUAGACUGUAUAGCUGCCUCACGGCAAGGUAGACCGGAGAAAAUAUUCUGAAUAUAGCGUACACUUAAACUGAUAUACAUUUUUUGAGGUGGGUCUUUCUUUUAGGUGGCUAAAAUACA